UGUAAGGCUGUUUUUGCUAUUGCACUGCAGCAUACAAACAUCUACAGAGGGUGACGGCUGUGUCCUACGAAGAAAAUACCCUCCUUGUUCUACCUUGUCCCCUUCCUCAGCACCUUUUUCCACCAUAAAUUCAUAUUGGUUUACCUUAGUAACUGUGCUACAGAACACAUUACAUGUAACUGUAAGAGGACGUUUGAGUUUACAAUGUUCCUGUAGAAUACGACACCUGGGAAAAGCCUUAUGGGAAACAUGCAUCUCAUGUUGUGUAAAAUC
rnacentral:lncRNA from 1 species